CUGGAGGAGGGGGGGCAGGUCCCCGGGGUGAGGCUGCUGCUGAGUCGGCUCUUCUCACGUUUCAUCAGCCGGAACACGGAGCCGCUGCCGUGAUGCUGCUGAGCAAAGCAGGGUCAGAGAAUCUGGUGAAAUUCCAACUGGAGGCGAACGGGGCAGGAGAAGGACGGAGGAAAAACAUGUUGGAAUUUUCUUCUCCUCUCAGAUCUUCAGGGUUUCACAGCAGCAAUUACACAGAAGUGUUACCAGAUGCUCCUCAGCACCGUCCGACCCAGAGAAACCACGUAUCUGCACAAAUCCACUCUGUGCUCCACGGCCUGACCGAACUAACCUUCUCUUUCCCCUGAAUUUCAAAUUUACGCCAAAGCAGAUUUUAAAUUUUUGAAUUGGUUUGUUUAGAAACGUCCUCGAGGUCGAGGAGAGUGAAAAGUGAAACAUCCGCUCGGAGGAAGAAAAACAACGCGACCGUAGUUAUGUGGUUAUUUUCUGCAAUCUUAUCUUAUCCUUGAGCCUUGACUCUGUCCAAUUAAACACACACAUGUCACACACACACACAUAUAUGUCACACACAUCCAUACACAUGUAUUAACACAUUCAUGCACCUACAUAUUCAUGGGUGUGUUACACGUUAAUGUAGAAUCAUUUUGCAGACGUACCCGCUCUCCUGCAAACAAACACUUAAUAUAUAAAUAAUAAAUUAAACCAGCCAAACAUGGGGUAGAGGAGAUUUAACAAACCUAAUCACCAACACAACAAUUUGAAUGAACUCUUCACACGUUUGACUCUAAAGUCUUUUAAAUAAAGUGAGUCCUUGACCUUCUAAAGCUCCUUUUCAACACAACACCAGAAACCUGUGUGUGUCUGUGUGUGUGGAACCAUUUUGUUCACACGUUUAAUAAAGAUCAACUUUUAAUAAACAGGCCAACAGCACCUGGCAGUCAGUGGGGGGGGGGGCUCUACAGUGAAGGAGUUGAAAUGUAAUGCAUGAAAAAAUAACAGCAGCUCAGUGAAUCAUUCAAACCACAUGUGGACAGAUAUGUAAAGAAUAUAUAUAUAAACAUAUAUCUAUAUUACUGUGGUCCCCACCCACUGGACGAGGCCAAUCAAAGAAAUAAGACAGAUCCAUUAUGACAAAUCAAAGUGUUCUGACAUCGGCCUCCGUCUCACUGGCUUAACCUCCGAGUGGAUCAGCUUCCAAAUGGGAGCUGGAGCUGGAGGCCGUUUGGAACUGGGAAACCAAACACCUGAUGUGGGCACACUGAGGGAUUAUGGGUAUUUUAAGUUACGUGGGUGAGCUGUUUUCUGACAGAGUCGCACUGGGGAUUGGAUUCAGAGCAGAGACACAUUCGAUAUGUGCACACAAACACACACACACACACACACACACACACACAGAGAAGCUGCCCCUCGUUCUCAGUUCUCCUGGUGUCUCGAGGGAGACGGUAAUUGCUCCGGAAGCCGAGCUCCAGUUGAGCUCCAGUCGUCUUCUGGCUGAUCCGGGAUCAGAGACGUGUGGAGUCUCUUCACUAACCAGCAGCUCCACACACACUCUCCUGUUUGCCUCCUUCCUCCUGAACCUUAUUACCAGUUAGUAACUUCUCAUCACACCGACUGCGUUUAGUUUCAGGACAGGAACAGAACCAAGAGAAGUUUUGUAUCGUGUCAUCUGCACAAAUCAGAUUGGACCUUGUUUAUUCCACUCAGACAUAUUUGUAGUAACUGUACAGAACCUUCUCCUCUUCAUCUCUCUGCACUCGGAGCUUCAUGAAGCCACAGGACCCAUCACUGAGUUCUCGGCCCAGUCAUUUUGCCGUUGAACUCAAAUUUGUAAUAAAAUUUGUAUGAGGAAUAAAAUCAGUGCAGGGACAUCUUCAUCAUCUUAUAGAACCAGUCAGAGACUGUUUACACCAAUAAUCCACUUAUUGAUUCAAGAAUAAAUCAUUGUGUCAGUUCUGGUGUUUACUUGAGCUGCUGAUCAAUAAACAGAUCCUCACA